GGGUUGUGAGGUUAAGCGACUAAGCGUACACGGUGGAUGCCCUGGCAGUCAGAGGCGAUGAAGGACGUGCUAAUCUGCGAUAAGCGUCGGUAAGGUGAUAUGAACCGUUAUAACCGGCGAUUUCCGAAUGGGGAAACCCAGUGUGUUUCGACACACUAUCAUUAACUGAAUCCAUAGGUUAAUGAGGCGAACCGGGGGAACUGAAACAUCUAAGUACCCCGAGGAAAAGAAAUCAACCGAGAUUCCCCCAGUAGCGGCGAGCGAACGGGGAGCAGCCCAGAGCCUGAAUCAGUAUGUGUGUUAGUGGAAGCGUCUGGAAAGGCGCGCGAUACAGGGUGACAGCCCCGUACACAAAAAUGCACAUAUUGUGAGCUCGAUGAGUAGGGCGGGACACGUGGUAUCCUGUCUGAAUAUGGGGGGACCAUCCUCCAAGGCUAAAUACUCCUGACUGACCGAUAGUGAACCAGUACCGUGAGGGAAAGGCGAAAAGAACCCCGGCGAGGGGAGUGAAAAAGAACCUGAAACCGUGUACGUACAAGCAGUGGGAGCACGCUUAGGCGUGUGACUGCGUACCUUUUGUAUAAUGGGUCAGCGACUUAUAUUCUGUAGCAAGGUUAACCGAAUAGGGGAGCCGAAGGGAAACCGAGUCUUAACUGGGCGUUAAGUUGCAGGGUAUAGACCCGAAACCCGGUGAUCUAGCCAUGGGCAGGUUGAAGGUUGGGUAACACUAACUGGAGGACCGAACCGACUAAUGUUGAAAAAUUAGCGGAUGACUUGUGGCUGGGGGUGAAAGGCCAAUCAAACCGGGAGAUAGCUGGUUCUCCCCGAAAGCUAUUUAGGUAGCGCCUCGUGAAUUCAUCUCCGGGGGUAGAGCACUGUUUCGGCAAGGGGGUCAUCCCGACUUACCAACCCGAUGCAAACUGCGAAUACCGGAGAAUGUUAUCACGGGAGACACACGGCGGGUGCUAACGUCCGUCGUGAAGAGGGAAACAACCCAGACCGCCAGCUAAGGUCCCAAAGUCAUGGUUAAGUGGGAAACGAUGUGGGAAGGCCCAGACAGCCAGGAUGUUGGCUUAGAAGCAGCCAUCAUUUAAAGAAAGCGUAAUAGCUCACUGGUCGAGUCGGCCUGCGCGGAAGAUGUAACGGGGCUAAACCAUGCACCGAAGCUGCGGCAGCGACACUAUGUGUUGUUGGGUAGGGGAGCGUUCUGUAAGCCUGUGAAGGUGUGCUGUGAGGCAUGCUGGAGGUAUCAGAAGUGCGAAUGCUGACAUAAGUAACGAUAAAGCGGGUGAAAAGCCCGCUCGCCGGAAGACCAAGGGUUCCUGUCCAACGUUAAUCGGGGCAGGGUGAGUCGACCCCUAAGGCGAGGCCGAAAGGCGUAGUCGAUGGGAAACAGGUUAAUAUUCCUGUACUUGGUGUUACUGCGAAGGGGGGACGGAGAAGGCUAUGUUGGCCGGGCGACGGUUGUCCCGGUUUAAGCGUGUAGGCUGGUUUUCCAGGCAAAUCCGGAAAAUCAAGGCUGAGGCGUGAUGACGAGGCACUACGGUGCUGAAGCAACAAAUGCCCUGCUUCCAGGAAAAGCCUCUAAGCAUCAGGUAACAUCAAAUCGUACCCCAAACCGACACAGGUGGUCAGGUAGAGAAUACCAAGGCGCUUGAGAGAACUCGGGUGAAGGAACUAGGCAAAAUGGUGCCGUAACUUCGGGAGAAGGCACGCUGAUAUGUAGGUGAAGUCCCUCGCGGAUGGAGCUGAAAUCAGUCGAAGAUACCAGCUGGCUGCAACUGUUUAUUAAAAACACAGCACUGUGCAAACACGAAAGUGGACGUAUACGGUGUGACGCCUGCCCGGUGCCGGAAGGUUAAUUGAUGGGGUUAGCCGCAAGGCGAAGCUCUUGAUCGAAGCCCCGGUAAACGGCGGCCGUAACUAUAACGGUCCUAAGGUAGCGAAAUUCCUUGUCGGGUAAGUUCCGACCUGCACGAAUGGCGUAAUGAUGGCCAGGCUGUCUCCACCCGAGACUCAGUGAAAUUGAACUCGCUGUGAAGAUGCAGUGUACCCGCGGCAAGACGGAAAGACCCCGUGAACCUUUACUAUAGCUUGACACUGAACAUUGAGCCUUGAUGUGUAGGAUAGGUGGGAGGCUUUGAAGUGUGGACGCCAGUCUGCAUGGAGCCGACCUUGAAAUACCACCCUUUAAUGUUUGAUGUUCUAACGUUGACCCGUAAUCCGGGUUGCGGACAGUGUCUGGUGGGUAGUUUGACUGGGGCGGUCUCCUCCUAAAGAGUAACGGAGGAGCACGAAGGUUGGCUAAUCCUGGUCGGACAUCAGGAGGUUAGUGCAAUGGCAUAAGCCAGCUUGACUGCGAGCGUGACGGCGCGAGCAGGUGCGAAAGCAGGUCAUAGUGAUCCGGUGGUUCUGAAUGGAAGGGCCAUCGCUCAACGGAUAAAAGGUACUCCGGGGAUAACAGGCUGAUACCGCCCAAGAGUUCAUAUCGACGGCGGUGUUUGGCACCUCGAUGUCGGCUCAUCACAUCCUGGGGCUGAAGUAGGUCCCAAGGGUAUGGCUGUUCGCCAUUUAAAGUGGUACGCGAGCUGGGUUUAGAACGUCGUGAGACAGUUCGGUCCCUAUCUGCCGUGGGCGCUGGAGAACUGAGGGGGGCUGCUCCUAGUACGAGAGGACCGGAGUGGACGCAUCACUGGUGUUCGGGUUGUCAUGCCAAUGGCACUGCCCGGUAGCUAAAUGCGGAAGAGAUAAGUGCUGAAAGCAUCUAAGCACGAAACUUGCCCCGAGAUGAGUUCUCCCUGACUCCUUGAGAGUCCUGAAGGAACGUUGAAGACGACGACGUUGAUAGGCCGGGUGUGUAAGCGCAGCGAUGCGUUGAGCUAACCGGUACUAAUGAACCGUGAGGCUUAACCUUACAACGCCGAAGCUGUU
rnacentral:rRNA from 1 species